rnacentral:rRNA from 1 species
GACGUAGGGCGCGAGCGUUGUCCGGAUUUAUUGGGCGUAAAGAGCUCGUAGGCGGCUUGUCGCGUCGUCCGUGAAAACCUGCGGCUCAACUGCAGGCUUGCGGUCGAUACGGGCAGGCUGGAGUUCGGUAGGGGAGACUGGAAUUCCUGGUGUAGCGGUGAAAUGCGCAGAUAUCAGGAGGAACACCGGUGGCGAAGGCGGGUCUCUGGGCCGAUAUUGACGCUGAGGAGCGAAAGCGUGGGGAGCGAACAGG